UAAAAUGUAAGAAUUUUCAGACAAUGACCUGAGCAUGACACUUGAUAAAAAUGGCUGUAAGCUGCUCACAAAUAUUAAGAUUAUGCCGCCUUGUGAUUCUGGAUAUUCUUCUCUCGUCGGUCAAUCUUGUUCUAACAUUUAUCAACAUAAACCAGUUCUUAAAAUCAGAGUCUACAAGGAGUAUUGGCCUGUUCUCACUGUUUCUCCUCUGGUUGCCUGGUAUUGUAGCUUCAGGUGGAUUUGUUAUCUUGUAUUUCCGGGGUAAAAAAGCAAUUUCCAAGCUUUUACCCUGGAAAUUGGUCUCUUAUCCCCUCACUCUUCUCAUUUUCUUCCCAGUGCUUCCUGUUGUGUUAACAGUUUACUCCUUGAUAAGAAAAGACGAUGAGCAUUACCAAAGAGCCCGACUAGCAAGACUUGUCUCGUCCUUCCUCGAUCAUGGACCACAGUUUGUAGUUCGUGUUGUAGUUGUGGUUCUCAGCGGGCUUCCACACAGAGGAAUUUAUGAUAAAGGGGAUGUAGUUUUUAUUAUUUCAAUGAUCUCCAGCUUUCUUUCUCUUAUUCUGUCAGCGCUGGUUUUUAAUGAAAGGAAAUCAAGUUAUGUACUCUGGAUAUUUGUAUGUACUCCAAUGUUCUCUGCUAUAUUAGCUUCUCGUGCCUUCACUUUAGCAGUUUUCUUGAGACAAGUUCUUCAGGUUGAAGCUCCCUGGUAUCAACAAAUGAUUUGUAUUCUAGUUGUAGUUCUCAUGAUAUUAUCGAAUAUAGGAUUAUUCAGAUGGUGUGGACAGGAUUGGAUUCGUAGUGUUGUCUUCAGUUUAUCUUCUGUUCUUCUUCCAGCAGGAUACAAUAAUGAUCCUGAAUAUUACCAACUACCCAACCAGAACCUCCUGAGUAACAGAUCCUUGGUAAAACCUUUACCCAGGUUAAGACGAGAUGUAAUUGAAACUGCGGAGCUUGGCAGCCAAGUUGUGACUACUGGACCGGAGGGAGAGGAGGGUGUAAAUAUAACUGAAAAAGAAGAGUUUUUAGAACCAAUGAAUUCAGGAAAAUAUUUAUUGAGUCAUAUACUUGUAAACACUGUACUGCUUGGAACCUGUUCAUUAUAUGUUUACUUCAGUUCUAAACUUGACAUAAAGGAGGAUGAUGCGUUAGUUCUUCCACAAGUGCUAUGUGCUAUACCAGGAUUGUUAUUUGCAAUCGGGAGAAGUUUUCUACACUUUCAUGAACUAACCCAGUACCAGGAUAAUGGAACAUUGUCGGAGAGAGUUUCUGGUUCUUGUCAGAAGGGAACUAAACUUGCAAUGGCAAUUAUUUUCACUGGUUUAGGAUUUUGUUCCCUAAUCCCUGCAAUACUCUGGACAUUGUUCUUUAAGUUUAUCAGCUCUCUACUUGUCUAGCACAACAGAUUCAAAGUGUUCGAGCAUUUCUCCAUGAAACCGUUUGUGGAGAAACACAGACUUGUGGUUGGUGAUGUUCAUUCACUGGAGUAUGAAGAUGCUAAGGAUGGUUCAAAAGUGAAAUUCGAUAGGAAACUCUAUGCAAGAUCAGGAGGAGUCGGAAGUCUCAUAAGUGACAUAGGAGAAUCGAAGACCAAUCCAACAGAUCAGAUGAAAAAAUAGAGGAUCCCGACAUCAAAAAGAUCUGCACUUCCCAAUUCACAAGAUCUUGUUGACGUUGGAGUAGAAGCCUAUGGAUGGGCUGAUGGUUGUUUCCAGUUUGGACUGGGGACAGUUUGCACACGGAUAAAUUUUACCAUCCCCAAUGAAGAUGACAAUGUACUGUAUUUCAUAGAUGUUAACACCUUUGGAAUUGGAGGUGUCCUCAAUAUAGGAACUGAUUUACGAACCGAAGUUGAGGUAGAACCAAUAAAGACCCAAGAGGAUUUUCUUGAAAGGAAAAGUGACUGGGAAAUAGUUGGCAUAACAGAAGGAACAUUGAUUGUAGCUAAAUGCUACAAGUUUGAAGGAAUGGGAAAGAACGGAUGGAUGACGGACCCUGCUGAAGAGGGGGGCAAAAGCUGCAUACCUCAGCACAUUCAGAAUGAAGACUUGAUGGAAGGUUCUCAGGAGUUCCCUCUUGAACAUUCAUUUCUCGGCCGCUGGAAUGUGCAAUGUGAUUACUAUCCUCUGGGAGAAAAGUACCAGGGUACAGCAGUGGUUUACUACAACGGAUUCUGGAAGGUAGCUCACACAGGAAUGCGAGCGAGCACCAUGUUCAACAAAGGUUAUAGGGCUAGAGACAAUGAGAGAAUAUCUGAAAGUCAAAGAUACAUAACCUGGGGAGAGCACACUACAAAUGGUAGAAAGUAUGCAGUGAACAAAAUUUCAGACAAGAAUAUUGAACAACUGGAUGAAAGCCCUCUGUACGAGGGAGAGCUUCAGGUAAACGGAAGAAACCUUAGUAUGGAGUUGCUCACAAAAGGGACCGCUACAUGCAGAGUCUUCAUGGAAAAGACCAACAUCGUUCAGUUUGAUGAGGACACUUGCGAGUAUUCCAGUGGAACUCCGGCUGUACACAACUCUACACAUGUGGUAGUCAGAACAAAGGGCCUUUGUAAGAUACACUACCUUCUUUGUAUCCUUAAAUUGACCUAGAUAUUGAACAUUUAUAAUGACCUGAUUUAUUAUAAACUGGAUUCUGGGAAAAUUUCUUACUGUCUCUGUCAAUUUUAAAGAUGAAGAACUGGUAAAUUACAUUUUAGAAAUAAGACCAGUAGUUUUUGGUGUUAAAUGUUUAACUGUGAUACUUCAAAAUAAUGUUAACAAAUAAUUCCGCAUGGAACAAAGACGAUAUUAAAAUCGUCAUUUAAUUCCUGUUAUUUGGGACGCCCUGUGUUUAUCUAAAUAAUAUUUGGUAAAAUAAUGGUAUCUUUGAUUUCCAGUGUAACUGAUUCACACAAAUUUCACUAUUCAUGAGUUCUAUAUUAAUGUUACAAGUACAAAUGUGAUAAUUGAUACAAAGAUAGAUGUUAACCAUUAAACCAAGUUCAAAUUUGUUCAAAACGCAUGUUGCAAAUAUUUGAAUUUCUAUAGUAGAAAAUAUUUCAUUAUUAUUAACAAUUGCUCCGAAUUUAUCACAGAUCAAAUCUGGUUGGAUUUAUGUUCAAGAGACAAUUGUUGAAUAUAUGUACAAGCUUGGAUUUAGGUACUAUAUUCAGAUUACAGUUAUUUACAGUGUUACCUAUAAAGGAUGAUACGGCUGUACUCGAAACAUAUUCUCUCUGUUUACUUAUAUUCAAAAUUCCCUGCGAUUAUGAAUUUGUUUCUUUCUUGCCCUAUCAAUUAAAAAGCCAUAAAAAGACUAUAUUUAAGGCAGAGGACUUGAUUCGACUUUGUACACGAUUCUGGUUCAAUAUUUAUGUACACUGUUUCCAGAAUUAUUAUAACCAUUAUUUGUUUAUUUUGUGUUCAGUUGUUUCCUUAUACCACAAUGUGCAAUGUACAGUAUCAAAUUAUCAUCAUAUUUAUGUUAAAAUGCUUAUUCCUGUAGCAACAGUUUCAAAUAUUAUGUAAUGCCUAAAAAUAUAGAAAAUAUUGUUAAACAAGUUAAUAAACAAAUAAACUAUCAUGAUGA